AGGGCACCACCAGGAGUGGAGCCUGCGGCUUAAUUUGACUCAACACGGGAAAACUUACCCGGCCCGGACACUGGCAGGAUUGACGGAUUGAGAGCUCUUUCUUGAUUUGGUGGAUGGUGGUGCAUGGCCGUUCUUAGUUGGUGGAGUGAUUUGUCUGGUUAAUUCCGAUAACGAACGAGACUCUAGCCUAUUAAAUAACACACAGAAUCUUGUCUUCUGUGGCGUUUCUUAAUGGGAUCAAGUGUGUUUAACGCUUUGAAACAGAGCAAUAACAGGUCUGUGAUGCCCUUAGAUGUUCGGGGCCGCACGCGCGCUACAUUGAGAGACAAAAUGAGUUUUCUAGUCUUUAAUAAGGCUAGUAAUCUUUGAAUGUUUUUCUUAAUGGGGAUAGGGGAUUGCAAUUGUGCCCCUUGAACGAGGAAUUCCCAGUAAGUGCUAGUCAUUAGCUAGUACUGAUUACGUCCCUGCCCUUUGUACACACCGCCCGUCGCUACUACCGAUUGAAUGGUUUAGUGAGAU
rnacentral:rRNA from 1 species